GCACAAGCGGUGGAGCAUGUGGUUUAAUUCGAUGCAACGCGAAGAACCUUACCUGGUCUUGACAUCCACGGAAGUUUUCAGAGAUGAGAAUGUGCCUUCGGGAACCGUGAGACAGGUGCUGCAUGGCUGUCGUCAGCUCGUGUUGUGAAAUGUUGGGUUAAGUCCCGCAACGAGCGCAACCCUUAUCCUUUGUUGCCAGCGGUCCGGCCGGGAACUCAAAGGAGACUGCCAGUGAUAAACUGGAGGAAGGUGGGGAUGACGUCAAGUCAUCAUGGCCCUUACGACCAGGGCUACACACGUGCUACAAUGGCGCAUACAAAGAGAAGCGACCUCGCGAGAGCAAGCGGACCUCAUAAAGUGCGUCGUAGUCCGGAUUGGAGUCUGCAACUCGACUCCAUGAAGUCGGAAUCGCUAGUAAUCGUGGAUCAGAAUGCCACGGUGAAUACGUUCCCGGGCCUUGUACACACCGCCCGUCACACCAUGGGAGUGGGUUGCAAAAGAAGUAGGUAGCUUAACCUUCGGGAGGGCGCUUACCA
rnacentral:rRNA from 1 species